CUCCAGUGCGAGUGAGGAGCAGCUGCCUUCCCUGUGUGCUCUCCAGGAGAGGCAGCUGCUCCUUCCCACGAGAUGGCAAGCGGUGGAGCUGGAAGUCGCUGUGGCUGAGUGGCUGGGCCCCCCUGCCCAUGCCAGCCAGUCCAAGAAAGCUGGAUGUUGACCCUGGAGAUCUUGCCUCAGUGACGUGGCUGUCAGGACGCAGCCUUCUCCUCUAUCUGCUGUAAUAUCAAUGCUAGAGUUCCUGUGCACUGCAGUGAGGUAGGUGCCCUCCUUCAUCAUUGGGAAUCAACUCCUUUUAGGCCCUGUGAAAAACCAGAGGCA
rnacentral:lncRNA from 1 species